GUGUGUUUGUGUUUUCUCUAAUGGGCCUCAGAUGACUGUUUGCUUAAAUUUGGGUCUCAAAGAAUCUUUUUUUUAUUCUGCCUGUACUCUCCACCCCUCUUCUUCUAUUGCUCAGGUUGAAGCAGAAUUUGCCCGUCUUACAUCUGUUGACCUGAAAGGGUUCCUUUUUGCUGUGCUUGACCAUUAUGGAGAGGUUCGUGGAGCUGUACAAAAUCAAGAGCGGCAUAGGAGGGCUAACUAGGCUCAUAAGAUGCUUCGGUGAUGAUAGCCCUACACAAAGGAAGAGGACAGAGGACCUCAUUUUCUAAAGGAAGAGCCCUCACACACUUUCAAGACUGUGAAGAGAUAUUAGGAUAUUUAAGGGCCUGCAGUGGCUGCUACAGCUGUGGGGGGCAAUACUUUGGUGAAAUGUCCUGGACCCUGGAAAAGAGACUGUGUAGACUGGCCGACAGGUAUUGAAGACACGUUUUCUAAGAGGAUGAAAGUUGGCAUUGUGAUGGUGAAAGAAGAAGACAUCAUCGAUGUGUUGGUUGUCCUUGAGGCGGCAGUAAUCCUGUCUAAUCUGAGGGAUGUCUCAAGUGCCAUUUCCAUGCUGAUGGGUCCUAAUGAACAUUGGUCGAAGGCAGUGCAUCUCACUAGUGCAGGGGUCUGCAACCUUUUACACCCAAAGAGCCAUUUGGACCCGGUUUCCACGCAAAAGAAAACACUGGGAGCCGCAAAUACUUUUUGACAUCUAAAAUGAAGAUAACACUGUAUAUAUUGUUUUUUAUCUUUAUGCUUUGUGUGAACAACUAAGGUGUGCUGCUUAUGAAAUCCAUGAAGUGCUACAGAGAAAAUUAAAUUAUAUUUAUGUAAUCAACACAUUUUGAACUCUUAAAGAAAUAUAACAAAAGGAAAGACACCAACCUGAACUAAAAUGAUCCAUGUAGCAAACAAAAACUGUUGUCAGCCCCACCCUUAUAUCGCCUUGGGGCUGUUGGAGCCUUGACCUGACUCUUAAAAAAUAAUUGGAAAAAAAGCACUAUGCUGCUGAAAAAUGAAAAAUAGAUAUUUGCAAAAUUCUGCCUAAAUAUGUAUUUUACCUGGUUAAUGCGUGCGGCGGGGCGUGGUCUGCAGCGCCGCUGCAGGGGAGGCAGACGCACCUGAGCAACACCCGCAAUCAUGCCUCGCUACCUUUACGUCUGCGCUAUCUGUGCUGUUGUGUUGUUGGUGGUGUAUGUCGGGCUGUGAGCUGAAAAGCUACAGCCGGCUGUAUGCGUACAGCAACCGUGUGUGAAAAGUGGUCAAUAAAGAGAUGCUCAAAAGCGUGUUCAUGGAAACAUCGUCGGGUCUGCCGUGAUUUGUUUACAAUGGGACUUCUGCUCCUGAACCUCUGCGCACAGAGUCCGCAAAUCGGGGCUGUACGAAGUCAGUUUACGCAGGACUGUAAGCUGUCAUCUGUCAGGCGUGAACGGUGUUUGUCUUUAACAUAGUUCACGGUGGAGAACAGCUACUGACAUAAUGUGGAUCCGAAGAUCCAUAAUUGGCCUACCUGGGGUUGAAAGUCUUGAUAAAUG
ensembl:lncRNA